rnacentral:rRNA from 1 species
GUACCGUCAAUACAAUCACCUAUUGGAUAAUUGUAAUUUCUUCCCUGUCGACAGAGCUUUACGACCCAAAGGCCUUCUUCACUCACGCGGCGUUGCUGCGUCAGGGUUUCCCCCAUUGCGCAAAAAUUCCUCA